GCUGACGAGUGGCGGACGGGUGAGUAAUGUCUGGGAAACUGCCUGAUGGAGGGGGAUAACUACUGGAAACGGUAGCUAAUACCGCAUAACGUCGCAAGACCAAAGAGGGGGACUUUCGGGCCUCUUGCCAUCGGAUGUGCCCAGAUGGGAUUAGCUAGUAGGUGGGGUAACGGCUCACCUAGGCAACGAUCCCUAGCUGGUCUGAGAGGAUGACCAGCCACACUGGAACUGAGACACGGUCCAGACUCCUACGGGAGGCAGCAGUGGGGAAUAUUGCACAAUGGGCGCAAGCCU
rnacentral:rRNA from 1 species